CAACACUCAAGCUCUGCUUGGUCUUGGGCCGCGUCAGUUCUGAUCGGCCUUAAAAUCAGUGGCGGUGCCAUCGUGCUCUAAGCGUAGUAAUACUCCUCGCUACAGGGUCUCGGUGCGUGCUGGCCAGCAACCCCCCAACUUUCUAA
rnacentral:misc_RNA from 1 species